UUUCUAUCAUCCAAAAUUAGCAAUUAGCAUUACACAAAACAUUGCACGUAAUGUUAAGAAAAAAUUUAAGCGUUUCUGACUAUGAUAUAGAAAUCAUAACAAUUGAAAUAAAUAAUAAUAAAAAACAAUACAUGAUCAGAAGUGAAUUAUUUAAAUUUACGUCAUAACCAAAUAACUUGUGGUGAUCGAAUGGAAGAAGAAUCGCUGAUAUCACGAUUGUGGAGAAACAAGUUAGUGGGCGGUUGUUUACUUUACCAUAAAAAUGUCUUAACUUUAUUUUAACAAUCUUUAAAAUUUGCAUAAAUAGAGUAGAUAUUUUAUCAUUGCUAUUGAGAAAUAGGAAAUUGUGGAUCAUUCAAAAAACAUAAAAUUAUAAACAAAAUGUUCUACAUUCAUCAGCUGGGAGAUGUUGAUGUUAAGAAACACCUCAUCAACUUAAAGGUCAUGCGAUUAAACGAUAAUAAUAUUUGGGAAGAAAAUGGACUUAUUGCAAAUAGACUUAAAAGAAAUCUU